rnacentral:rRNA from 1 species
GACGAACGCUGGCGGCGUGCUUAACACAUGCAAGUCGAACGGCAAGGCCCUGCUUUUGUGGGGUGCUCGAGUGGCGAACGGGUGAGUAACACGUGAGUAACCUGCCCUUGACUUUGGGAUAACUUCAGGAAACUGGGGCUAAUACCGGAUAGGAGCUCCUGCUGCAUGGUGGGGGUUGGAAAGUUUCGGCGGUUGGGGAUGGACUCGCGGCUUAUCAGCUUGUUGGUGGGGUAGUGGCUUACCAAGGCUUUGACGGGUAGCCGGCCUGAGAGGGUGACCGGCGACAUGGGGACUGAGAUACGGCGCAGACGCCUACGGGAGGCAGCAGUGGGGAAUAUUGCACAAUGGGCGGAAGCCUGAUGCAGCAACGCCGGGGGCGGGAUGACGGCCUGCGGGUUGUAAACCGCUUUCGCCUGUGACGAAGCGUGAGUGACGGUAAUGGGUAAAGAAGCACCGGCUAACUACGUG